AUUGAACGCUGGCGGCAUGCUUUACACAUGCAAGUCGAACGGCAGCACGGGUGCUUGCACCUGGUGGCGAGUGGCGAACGGGUGAGUAAUAUAUCGGAACGUACCCGGCAAUGGGGGAUAACGUAGCGAAAGUUACGCUAAUACCGCAUAUGCCCUGAGGGGGAAAGUGGGGGAUCGCAAGACCUCACGUUGUCGGAGCGGCCGAUAUCAGAUUAGCUAGUUGGUGGGGUAAAGGCCUACCAAGGCGACGAUCUGUAGCUGGUCUGAGAGGACGACCAGCCAGACUGGGACUGAGACACGGCCCAGACUCCUACGGGAGGCAGCAGUGGGGAAUUUUGGACAAUGGGGGCAACCCUGAUUCAGCCAUGCCGCGUGAGUGAAGAAGGCCUUCGGGUUGUAAAGCUCUUUCGGACAGAAAGAAAUCGCCGCUUCUAAUAAAGGUGGUGGAUGACGGUACUGUAAGAAGAAGCACCGGCUAACUACGUGCCAGCCGCCGCGGUAACAC
rnacentral:rRNA from 1 species